rnacentral:rRNA from 1 species
UACGUAGGGGGCAAGCGUUGUCCGGAAUCAUUGGGCGUAAAGAGCGUGUAGGCGGCUUGGUAAGUCCGCUGUGAAAGUCCAGGGCUCAACCCUGGAAUGCCGGUGGAAACUGUCAGGCUCGAGUCCGGAAGAGGCGAGUGGAAUUCCUGGUGUAGCGGUGAAAUGCGCAGAUAUCAGGAGGAACACUAAUGGCGAAGGCAGCUCGCUGGGACGGUACUGACGCUGAGACGCGAAAGCGUGGGGAGCAAACAGG